rnacentral:tRNA from 1 species
GCUCAUUUGGUACAACAUGUGACUCUUGAUCUCAGGGCCAUGAGUUCAAGUCCCAUAUUGGGCA